GCCCAGCAGCCGUCGCACUCUCGCCACGCUCGCUAAGCCCCAUCUGUUCCGCCUCUUCCGCAUCGUACACAUGACCCUCUGUAGCUCAACCGCCUCAAAGCUGUCGCCCUCCCCACCCCAAAACCCUAGCUCUGUUCCACCGCUCCCCUUCUCCCUGUUGCCGUUGUCGCGGCAGUUGAGAAUAGUGGCGGCAAGAUCUCAUGGAGAGAAGCUAUGCGGACUCCCAGAAAAGGCGAAAUCAUCGUGCGAUUGUGGAGAUUGUCGAUGGGAGGCUCCACCAGCGCUAGGGUGCGGCCAACAAGACGCUGCUCGCCACCGCUUGAGUCGGUAGUGAGAUCUUAGGGGGAGAAGCCCUGCAGCCCCCAUGCUCCCACUCCCUCCUGCACCCCACGCUUACCGGCGAGCCGCUCGACCUCAUUGGAGCUUGCCAAGCCGUCAUGUGCCCCAGUGCGGUGGUCGACAUCAUCCACGGCGUCGACCGCGUGCUGGUCCUGCGCUCAAUGCAGGAGUCCUUCAACUGGCGGCGGUGGAGCAACCGUACUACCACAGCGCGUACACAGGACGCAGAGAACAACUCCAGAAGGCGAGCCCCAACCCCUAGAUCUGCGAUGCAGUCUUCUCAACUGAAAAAAGAGGGCAGAGAACAACUCCAGAAGGCGAGCCCCAACCCCAGAUCUGCGUUGUAGUCUUCUCGACUGAAAAAAGAGGGCAUCUCUACCGCCACCAACCACUAGCAGGCGGCAGACGUUGCUGGCAAUAGGCAAUGGCAUGCAUCAGGCAUUGUUUGCACAAAGGACGGAGAUCUGUCGUCGAAGACCACCUCAUUGUUUCUCAUGGCAGGCUUGCUUGCUCUAGCUUGGCACAAUAUGUCGCUUCAGGCUUCAGUCGGUUAUGUGAUCACCAGAACAUUAUGGGCUCUAAAGUAGGACUUUUGAGAAAUGCCAGGCGAUGGUGCAUGCAUGAUGAAGCUGUUGUCCAUUAUAUUGACAUGAUUGAUCAGACCACGCUUGGUCACCGGAUGAUCAAGAAACAAUUCAACAAGACUCCAAGAGCUGGCUGGCAAAUCGAUCCUUUUGGACAUUCUGCAGUUCAAGCUUAUUUGCUUGGAGCAGAGAUUGAAAUUUGUAGGAUGACAUACUGAUGUUUGACUAUAAUGUUGAAGAACGAGUUAAUGAUUUUGUUGUUGUAGCCAUAGAACAGGUAAACUUUCAAUAUUGUUGCCACAGGCUGUAGUUCACUAGAGCAAUUAAUUAUGCUUCGUUCAAAGUAAGAAAUUGGAUUUAAUUAACUUGUGAUGAUCAGGCAAAUUUUACGCGUACAAACCACAUAAUGUGGACCAUGGGAGAUGAUUUUAGUUAUCAGUAUGCAGAAUCUUGGUUCCGGAAUAUGGACAAACUUAUCUAUCAUGUGAACAAGCUAUGCUGAUUCAAAAAAUUCAUAUUGGACUGGGUACUAUACAAGCCGUCCAACUUUCAAGCGAUAUGUUCGAGUGUUGAGUGGUUAUUACCUG